rnacentral:rRNA from 1 species
UGCAUAUCCAAAAAGCGGAGGAAAAGAAACCAACAGGGAUUGCCCUAGUAACGGCGAGUGAACAGGCAAGAGCUCAGAUUUGAAAGGCACUUUUGUGCCGUUGUAUUCUGAAGUUAGGGUCCUGAGAAACGAUGCUUAAGUCUUCUGGAAAGGAGCGCCAUGGAGGGUGAUAGCCCCGUCUAGCAUUGACCUCAUAUAGGAUCUUAACAUGGAGUCGAGUUGUUUGGGAAUGCAGCUCAAAUGGGUGGUAUGCUCCAUCUAAAGCUAAAUAUCUGCGAGAGACCGAUAGUAAACAAGUACUGUGAGGGAAAGAUGAAAAGAACUUUGAAAAGAGAGUGAAAAAGUACGUGAAAUUGUUGAAAUGGAAGGGUAGGCCGCUAACCAUGUAGAGCCGUGUUUGGGGGGAAGAUAAAUGCUGUAGAAUGUAGCUCCUCGGAGUAUUAUAGAUGCAGUUCAUAUUCCCACCCGAGCGCGAGGAUCUCAGGUUCUACUAAAUGGUGGUCUACCACCCGUCUUGAAACAACGGACCCA